rnacentral:misc_RNA from 1 species
CAGAAACGAAAAGAAAUCUGUUACACGAAGUUAUAGAAAUAAGUAAAAAGUUUUUUAGUACAUUUAAAUUGCGACCCAAAUUGGAAAAUAAAGAAAUGCAUUACAAAUUGUCCAACCUUUGUAAUUGUCCAAACCAGCAUACAUUAAGGGACCAAACCAGCAAGAAAUGACCUAGGAAAACCUAUUAAUGGAAGUCAAGGGUCUCUUCAUUGAGCAAGAGGGAAAAGAAAAUCAUCAAACUUUAACUAAAGAGCAUUUCUUGAGAACUAAAAUGUAGAUAGAACACCAAAAAAUAGGAAAAAAGAUAACCUCCUCCCUUAUGACUAACAUUAGGGCCAAGAAUAAUAGAAAGAUCAAAGCAAAGCAAUGUUACAUUACUCAGCUGACAAUUAAA